GCCGGGCUGGCGCAAUGGUAGCGCGUCAGACUUCUAUGGGUGCUCCUCACCAAGUGAUCUGAAGGUUGCGGGUUCGAUCCCCGCGUUCGGUU